UGGUGAAUGAAACACAAUGUAUAGCGUUUAACCGCGAAUGCUCGUUAAUCGACAGAAUGUAAUUUAGUGCUAUGUUAAUAUGAAGAUAUGUCAAGUAAACAAGAGAAUCCAUCAUUAUAUUUCUUAUUUGCCCACUUUUGCCGUUGUAAUGCGACACUUGACACGACACAUUUCCCGGAACUGGCUUGAUUAAACAGACAAUUCCCUGAAAUGUCUUCCUGCUCUGAGAUGUGCUCUCUGGACCAGACAAACGGUAUUUCUGGAAAACCCCAGGAGGGGUAAAGCCCAUGCGUCAGGGAUACUGCUGGAAUGAGAGAGGGGGGUGUGUGUGAGAGAGAGUCUGAUGCUGCUGUUCCUGCAGUGGUCCUGUAGUCACCCUCGUUGAGCUGGUGAGCCGGUCGGCUGCUGCUGUUGCUGAUACUGCUGCAGGAGAGGAUUCCUAUCUGAUGCUGGGAUAGUCACAAAUACUACAGCAGAGAGAGGCAAAGAAAGGUAGAGGUUUCCGCUAACCUUCCUGGGUUCCCCGCUUUGUUUUUACGAGCACAGAGGAGGAAAAAGACUCUUCAGGUGUGAAAAGGAACUCGGAGAGAGGAGGCGCACUUGGCUGGACUGCACUAGGGGGCGAAGGUAGGGGAUCUUUACUUUUUUGGGGAGGGGGGUUCACACGGGGCAUAUAACAAUGUGUGUAUUUGUGAAAGACAUGGGACACUAUAUAAAAUGGAGUAGUUGCUUGAGUUUAUGUAUGGUGGUAAGA